rnacentral:rRNA from 1 species
UGGGGAAUUUUGGACAAUGGGCGCAAGCCUGAUCCAGCCAUGCCGCGUGCGGGAAGAAGGCCUUCGGGUUGUAAACCGCUUUUGUCAGGGAAGAAAUCUUCUGAGUUAAUACCUCGGGAGGAUGACGGUACCUGAAGAAUAAGCACCGGCUAACUACGUGCCAGCAGCCGCGGUAAUACGUAGGGUGCAAGCGUUAAUCGGAAUUACUGGGCGUAAAGCGUGCGCAGGCGGUUUUGUAAGACAGAGGUGAAAUCCCCGGGCUCAACCUGGGAACUGCCUUUGUGACUGCAAGGCUUGAGUGCGGCAGAGGGGGGAUGGAAUUCCGCGUGUAGCAGUGAAAUGCGUAGAUAUGCGGAGGAACACCGAUGGCGAAGGCAAUCCCCUGGGCCUGCACUGACGCUCAUGCACGAAAGCGUGGGGAGCAAACAGGAUUAGAUACCCUGGUAGUCCACGCCCUAAACGAUGUCAACUGGUUGUUGGGAAGGUUCCUUCUCAGUAACGUAGCUAACGCGUGAAGUUGACCGCCUGGGGAGUACGGCCGCAAGGUUGAAACUCAAAUGAAUUGACGGGGUCAUA